ensembl:lncRNA
UAUUACUGCUGUGAACAGCCCUUACUGAAAUCUCCACCUCCGUUUUCAGAGAGCAGAAAAAAGACCUUUAGCGUGCUUGCUUUGCAGGGACACUCUAACGUGUUAAGAUAUUAAUUAUCUAACUUAUUAAUGAAUCCCACCACGAGGUGCCGCGGCCGGCCGGGCACAGCUGCGCCUCGUCGGGAGCCCCGGGCGGGGCCCGCCCCAAAGCCUCUUAAGCUCCUCCGGAGGCUGCUGGCAGCCACGGGGGCGUUCUUGCGGUUCUCCACGAGAGACGGAGGGGGCUCCGGUUCCUUUGACCGCUCUUAGCGCUGCUGGAGCUGGGAAGCGGCUGCUGUGAGACCUCUCGCGGUAAGGAUCCGCCCAAACCGGUGUGAGCCGUUUUGGUAGUAGCGGGACCGUGCAGGCGGCGAGGGCUCGGGAGCCGCGAGGAUCUCUUCGGCUGGAGCGGGAGGCUGCCGGGCUCCCGGACCCCGCUCUUCUCGGGGCCGGCGUAGGGCUGCCGCCGGGCUUCCCCGGCUGUUUGCUGUCGAUACAGCGUCGCCGCCCGGCUCCUAUCGCGUUUUCGGAGGGAGCUGCCGCUCAGGUCCUUAAGUCCUACCGCAGCCCCGGGGUGCUCUGAGCCUCCCUCUUCCUAGGGUUGUUUGUAGCGGGUGCUUCGGUUCUUCAGGCUCUCAUCGGCUGAGCGAGUGUUCCGGCAGAGCCUCUCCUCGCUCCAAACCGGUGAGCUCGUGGAAGCGGUGAGUGCUGGGGAGUCAGCUGGUAAGAUCUCUCUUCUCGGGGUUUAUGUAGGGCUGUUGCUCGGCUACCUCUGCACCUUCGGGAUCGGCACGGCGCCGCUUCUGGGCUCCCGCGUGGCCUUUUAGAGAAGAGCCGGCACGAGGCCGCUGCCCGACGGCUCGAGACCGAGCGCGGCCCCGGGGCGGCCUCAGCCCCCGAGGAGGGUUCUACUGGUGCUCCAGCCCCCCCGUUUCCAGCGGUGGGAGCGAGCAGGAUGGGAACAUUUGUUUUCUUUUUUUCUCCCCCUUCCUUCACGUGGGACUUCAGGAGCACGGUUUUGUGCCUACCGUGGAGACCUGGUGGGGCAGCUUGCAUGACCGGAAUGCUGUUGUGGAUGGCUUUGUUCCUUUUAGGAAAGACAGACCGGCCAGGUGGUGGAGUCUCUCUUCCAGUGAGAGAAUGGAAAUGUAUCGAGCUCUGCCUCGGGGUGAAUGAAGAACUAGCGGAGCGCUUGCAUGUGAGGCUCAAGAGGCAGGUAAAUGUGGGUGACAUCACUGUGGGUGGUAUCUCUACUGGCAGGAGACCUGCAGGGUUGAAUGAGGAACUCAAGAUGAACUUGAAGGGGAAAAGGAAGACUUGGGCUAAGGAAGACGAUGACCCUCUCAGUAUCACCUUUGGGAAGGGAGGUCAAGGCUAAUAGAAGUUGGUCAAUGGGAGAAAGGAGACUAGAGCGGGCCUCUGCUUUACAAGGUGGAGGCCCUGGUAAUAGAGUAUGUGCUGAAUGUAUUUUUGGUUUCAGUGGUCGCUGCUGAGUCUGCUCCUUGGGAUCCCUGGAUUCUGGAGGAAAUAGUUUUAGAGGAAGGAUGACUUCCUCUUGAUUGUGGAGGAGCUGGUCAAAGGUCAUUUAGGCAAAGUGGGUGCCAGCGCAAAUGCCUGAGCUGGAAAGGGAUAUGCCUGUGUGUGCUGAGAGAGCUGGCAGAAGUGACUGCCACAUAGCUCUCUGUCACGUUUCCUCUGUUCUUUCCUAUAGGAAAGGUGCCCAAAGACUGGAGGAUAGCUGAUGUCACCUCAGCCUUCGGAAAGGGUGAGGAGGAUGGCCUGUGUGUAUGGGAACUGUUGAAUCACAGCCUGAACCUUUGAUUCCUCCACCUGAGGAGAGUGCCGAGUCAGCUGCAGGGGCACAGGUGAAUGCAAUUUCACCUGAGUGAGGGGAAGAGGUGGAGCCUGGCUCCAUCCCUCCUAGAUGCCAUUUAAGGGCUGACUCCCAAGGAGGAAGGAUCUCUGGCUGGAGAUCCUCUUGGAGCCCUUCUGUAAGCCCAGGACAUGGGUAAGAUCUUUAUUUCAUUUCUCCUUUGUAAUGUGUUAUUCUCUGUGGUCCAAUACCUGUAUACCUGUUUGUCAUACAGCUGUGCAACUGUAGGUUGGUUAGCCUCACCUCCCUUCCUGGAAUGGCAAUGUAACAACUGCUUCUGGAUGUCAUCUCCAAGCAACUGGAAGAGAAGAAAUGUCUAAGGAGUGGUCAAGGGUGAAGGCUGCAGGGAGGAUUGGCUGGAAUACGUGAGCUGCUUUUUUCCAGUGCUGGGAUGAAGGAGGUGAGAGAUGGGGACCCACCAGUGGGUCCCCUGCUAGCAGAGGGCUGCCUUCUGUGUGGUUCACAGGUCUUCCUGCAGGUUCAGGGCUGGAGUGAGGUCUGAAGGUGUGUGGCAGGUUCUCUCUUGGAGGAAUGGAACUGAUGAAGUGCUGGAGUUUGGGGUCCUGGUGCAGCUGUUGUCUGAAGGUGCAGCGCUGGAUCUGCUGAAGGAGCAGAGGCAAGAGCUGAAUUUCUGCAUGGCAGCAUCUCUUGAAUGCAGUAGAGCUUCCCCAGCUUGAAGAUGGGUGUGCUAUCCAUAUGCCAGAGGAGUGGCAUCAACUGUCUUGUAAUAAACUUCUCAUUUCCUUUUUUAAGAUGAGCCCACUGCGACCUGUCUGGUUUCUUACUAGUUAACUCAGGAGCGUGCUUCUCAGAGAAACUCUUUGUGUUGAAUCUCAGUGAGUGAGUUACUGUGAACCUUCCUCCCAAACUGAGACUGAACUCAAGCAGAAGUGACAAUAUGUUGUACUCUGCAUGUAGCUCUUUAACAGAAGACAUGGAACUCUGGGGUUGUGCCUUUGUGUUAAAUGUUUGCAUGCAGUGUAUUGCAUCUUCAUGUGAGAGUCUGCAGUUAAUAAACUUUGCUUUUAAUUAGUUAAUGAUCCAGUUCUCCUGUGAUUGUAGCACAACAGCCAGAUAAUGCAGGAUAGAAAAUGGAGCUAGUUAACUUAAAUAUGAUACUAUUCUACUCACUUGACUUAUCUGUGUGUUAGUAGGUUUACUCAGUGCAACCAAGCGUCUGCAGGCCAUUAACCUGUUGCUCCUGGUGAUAACAGGACAUAGACAUUCCUCUGGAAAAAAUAACAAAAAUGUAUAUUAGUGACAUGACAUGAGAGGAUAUACAAACUCAG